rnacentral:rRNA from 1 species
UGAAUACGAGAUGCUACGGCGUCGAAGCAGUCUAUGUCAUACUUCCAAGAAAAGCUCGCACUGUCAUAAACAAAUAAUGCCUGUACCAUAACCGACACAGGUGGGUAGGUAGAGUAUACUAAGGGGCGCGAGAUAACUCUCUCUAAGGAACUCGGCAAAAUGACUCCGUAACUUCGGGAGAAGGAGUGCCUUAUUUAUAAGGUUGCAAUAACAAGAUCCAAGCAACUGUUUAUCAAAAACACAGGUCUCCGCUAAGUCGUAAGACGAUGUAUGGGGGCUGACGCCUGCCCAGUGCCAGAAGGUUAAAGAAGUUGGUUAGCAUUCGCGAAGCUGAUAACUGAAGCCCUGGUGAACGGCGGCCGUAACAAUAACGGUCCUAAGGUAGCGAAAUUCCUUGUCGGGUAAGUUCCGACCCGCACGAAAGGCGUAAUGAUUUGGAUACUGUCUCGGAGAGGGGCUCGGUGAAAUAGACUUGUCUGUGAAGAUGCGGACUACCUGCACCAGGACAGAAAGACCCUAUGAAGCUUUACUGUAACUUGAGAUUGAAAUUGGACUUUACUUGCGCAGUAUAGGUGGGAGGCGUUGAUAAUAUUCUUGCGGGAUUAUUUGAGCCUCAGUGAGAUACCACUCUUGUAAUGUUAGAUUUCUAACUUUGUAUCAUUAUCUGGUCAAAGGACAGUUUCAGGCGGGCAGUUUGACUGGGGCGGUCGCCUCCUAAACGGUAACGGAGGCGCACAAAGGUUUCCUCUGAACGGGUAGAAAUCGUAUCUAGAGUGUAAAGGCAUAAGGAAGCUUGACUGUGAGACCUACAAGUCGAGCAGGGACGAAAGUCGGUCUUAGUGAUCUGACGGUGCUGAGUGGAAAGGCCGUCACUCAACGGAUAAAAGUUACUCUAGGAUAACAGGCUGAUCUCCCCCUAGAGUUCACAUCGACGGGGAGGUUUGGCACCUCGAUGUCGGCUCAUCGCAUCCUGGGGCGGUAGUACGUCCCAAGGGUUGGGCUGUUCGCCCAUGAAAGCGGUACGCGAGCUGGGUUCAGAACGUCGUGAGACAGUUCGGUCCAUAUCCGGUGUAGGCGUUAGAAUAUUGAGAGGAGCCUUCUUUAGUACGAGAGGACCGAGAAGGACAUACCUCUGGUGUACCAGUUAUCGUGCCAACGGUAAACGCUGGGUAGCUAUGUAUGGAGUGGAUAACCGCUGAAAGCAUCUAAGUGGGAAGCCCACCUCAAGAUAAG